rnacentral:rRNA from 1 species
CCUACGGGGGGCUGCAGUGGGGGAUAUUGCACAAUGGGGGGAACCCUGAUGCAGCGACGCCGCGUGGGUGAAGGAGUAUUUCGGUAUGUAAAGCCCUAUCGGCAGGGAAGAAAUUGGACGGUACCUGACUAAGAAGCCCCGGCUAACUACGUACCAGCAGCCGCGGUAAUACGUAGGGGGCAAGCGUUAUCCGGAUUCACUGGGUGUAAAGGGAGCGUAGACGGCCAUGCAAGCCAGGGGUGAAAGCCCGGGGCCCAACCCCGGGACUGCCCUUGGAACUGCAUGACUGGAGUGCGGGAGGGGCAGGCGGAAUUCCUGGUGUAGCGGUGAAAUGCGUAGAUAUCAGGAGGAACACCGGCGGCGAAGGCGGCCUGCUGGACCGCGACUGACGUUGAGGCUCGAAAGCGUGGGGAGCGAACAGGAUUAGAUACCCUGGUAGUC